rnacentral:rRNA from 1 species
UACCAGCUCUCCGAGUGGUGUGGAUGUUUAUUGGGCCUAAAGCAUCCGUAGCUGGCUGGGCAAGUCCCCUGUUAAAUCCACCGAUUUAAUCGUUGGAGUGCGGGGGAUACUGUUAGGCUAGGGGACGGGAGAGGCAGACGGUAUUUUCGGGGUAGGGGUGAAAUCCUAUAAUCCCGGGAAGACCACCAGUGGCGAAGGCUGUCUGCUAGAACGCGCCCGACGGUGAGGGAUGAAAGCUGGGGGAGCGAACCGGAUUAGAUACCCGGGUAGUCCCAGCUGUAAACGAUGCAGGCUAGGCGUUUGGGCGGCCACGUGCCGCUCUAGUGCCGCAGGGAAGCCGUUAAGCCUGCCGCCUGGGGAGUACGGCCGCAAGGCUGAAACUUAAAGGAAUUGGCGGGGAGCACCACAAGGGGUGAAGCUUGCGGUUU